GCCCUGAGGUGUUCUACACAUCAGAUUGCAAAUCUGAAGUCGCAGCCUAACAUCUGCCGGGGCUU
rnacentral:tRNA from 1 species